UACGUAGGGUGCAAGCGUUGUCCGGAAUUAUUGGGCGUAAAGAGCUCGUAGGCGGUUUGUCGCGUCUGCUGUGAAAACCCGAGGCUCAACCUCGGGCCUGCAGUGGGUACGGGCAGACUAGAGUGCGGUAGGGGAGAUUGGAAUUCCUGGUGUAGCGGUGAAAUGCGCAGAUAUCAGGAGGAACACCGGUGGCGAAGGCGGAUCUCUGGGCCUUACCUGACGCUCAGGCGCGAAAGCUAGGGGAGCGAACAGG
rnacentral:rRNA from 1 species